CAGAUUCUUUUUGUUCUUUGUAGGCCUGGAGGAAUCAAAGAAUCCAACCUUCGAUUUUAGGACCCAAACUUAUCCUAUUUUUCUUAUAAAGAAAUACUCCAGAAAAGGUGAAUCAAAUCAUCUAUCUUAUUAAAAUGAAGAUAAACUGCUCCCACGAUUGAAAUUCUUCUCUGGAAAUUGAACCAAAAAGAGACAUACAUGUGUGAGAUUAUCCACUUACAAGGGAAUCUAAGGCUCCCAGUUUCAAACACAG
rnacentral:misc_RNA from 1 species